ensembl:ncRNA W04C9.8 ncRNA
ACACAGAAUAUCCCAUGAUGUUCUGUCACUUUCAACAUCAUUCUGCCUUUUUUGUUCCCUUGUGUAUGGUGACUAUAAUUUGAUUGUUCUGAAUAAUCUGAUGUCUACUUGUGUUGUGGACCACUAUUGAUUUUUGCUGCUUUGGUUAAUUUGAGAUAGAUCAACUGAACUUCAUAACUUUAAAAAGCCAGUCUGGGAUGUAUCUAUACCACUCUAUCAGACUACUCUUAGCACUAAUCACAAUGUACGACCCCGUGAGAGAUUGUUGUCUGUACUGGAUACUACACGAGUGGUAGAAUAUAAAGAAGUGUGGUGACAAGUUUGGGAUCUGAGUCCAGUAGAAAAAAAUCAUUCUACCGAAACUCGAAACUAUGAGCGACUGGUCAAAACUAUGCAUUUGACGACGUCUACCUGUUUUAAGUUAUUGGUGAAUGGCUAGUUUCAAAAUCGGCGGCUUUGUCGUUACAUAUGAAAACAUGCACAACAAUAUGAAAAAUAGAUGUUAGCAGUUCGACGAAGCAAUGCAGGAACUACAGUUAUACAAUCAAAUUCACGCU